GUGCUCGCUUGGCAGCACAUAUACUAAAAUUGGAACGACACAGAGAAGAUUACCAUGGCCCCUGCGCAAGGAUGAUACGCAAAAUAAGUUGAUGUCUCUUUCUCUC